rnacentral:rRNA from 1 species
GAUGAACGCUGGCGGCGUGCUUAACACAUGCAAGUCGAACGAAGCACUUUAUUACGAUUUCUUCGGAAUGACGAUUUAGUGACUGAGUGGCGGACGGGUGAGUAACGCGUGGGUAACCUGCCUUAUACAGGGGGAUAACAGUUAGAAAUGACUGCUAAUACCGCAUAAGCGCACAGGAUUGCAUGAUCUGGUGUGAAAAACUCCGGUGGUAUAAGAUGGACCCGCGUCUGAUUAGCUGGUUGGUGAGGUAACGGCCCACCAAGGCGACGAUCAGUAGCCGACCUGAGAGGGUGACCGGCCACAUUGGGACUGAGACACGGCCCAAACUCCUACGGGAGGCAGCAGUGGGGAAUAUUGCACAAUGGGGGAAACCCUGAUGCAGCGACGCCGCGUGAGUGAAGAAGUAUUUCGGUAUGUAAAGCUCUAUCAGCAGGGAAGAAAACGACGGUACCUGACUAAGAAGCCCCGGCUAACUACGUGCCAG